rnacentral:lncRNA from 1 species
CUUAAAUCUGUCAGUCCCCCAGGGGAGGCGCAGUUUCCAGUUGUUCGCUCUGUCCUAGUUGUCUCCUCUUACUCAAAGGUCAGCCCCUGCUAACCAUGACUCAGGGUCAUUUACCUGGGAACCUGGAUAUGGACCCAGCCAGUGGCCAUUAACCUGGUGAGUAUUUAAUUAAAGCUUGUUUCAAAUUUGACUUUAAAUUGUGUUAGUGAUCUUUUUCUUGACUGGGGAGAUUAACAGUGGUCUUUCUU